AAAUGUAGCAUAUAGCACCAUCAUUCCUGAAGGGAUUUCUUUUGCGGGACAGAGGAACAGAUGUUGAGAGUUUGGACAAACUCAUGAAAACCAAAAACAUACCUGAAGCUCACGAAGAUGCAUUUAAGACUGGUUUUGCAGAGGGUUUUCUGAAAGCUCAAGCACUAACACAAAAAAACCAAUGAUUCUCUAAGAUGAACUCGUCUGACUGUUCUGCUGCUAUUUGGCAUUUAUGGACUAUUAAAAAACCCAUUUUUA